rnacentral:rRNA from 1 species
AUGGGGGAUAGCAAAUCUGGAUGCCAACAACCAGAAAUACCAGUUGCACACCAAGAUCAUGAUGCACCUGAUCAAACACAUGCUCAAAGGCUGCAAAGCUCGUGGGAUGAAUAUUGCCCUGCACCUCCUUUCAGUAUAGGGCUUGAUGAAAUUUUUGGAUCAAGCAUGGUUGAAGAAUUGGCAAGGCCUACAGGGAUUUUUGACGACUGUUGCCAACCAAAUGGUUAUGAGUUGGGGUCUGUUGAUAUUCCGGGAACAAGCAUCGAUGAAGGUGUGUUGGAAGUUGAACUAUCAAAGCAAAUCAUCGGGGCAAGCAGUGGCAAUGUUGACAUGUGUCCUGAAGCAAAGGGGAAAACACCCGUGGUCAUCGAAAUCCCUGAUGAAGGUGUGUUGGAAGUUCAACUGUCACAGCAAAUCAACAGGGCAAGCACAAGCAUUGUUGACAUGUACCUGGAAGCAAAGGAAAAAACAUCCAUGGUCAUCGAAAUCCCUGAUGAUGAUUUGUUUUGGGACUUAGAAGAAAUUGACUUAGCGUGUGAAGAAGCAAAGAAAAAGGCUCAAGGCAGAAGGACACAGUAUAGCAUGGAGAACUUAUCACCUACCAACUUCCAAACGCCAGAGAAAACAAGUUGGAAGGAUGGAGAAGUUGGUUCCAGUAGCAGCUCAGGAGAAAUCACGAACAAAUUUGAGAGACGCAUCAUCAAGCCACCAGCAUGCAGAGGUCACCUUUUGCGGAUUACAACGAGAAUAGGCUUUCUCACUGCACCCCAGUAG